CCUGGCACCCGCGUCAGAUGCCGGCCGGCGAGCGCGCGGAGAGAGAGACCUUGAGCGGCGUGGCGCGCGUCCUCAGCUCUGCGAGCCCCCUCUGGAGCGGCGGGGAGAAGAGACACGAGAGGUGCCCUCUGUCUCCACCACAAGAAGAUGGCCGUCUGCAAACCAGGAGGAGCCUUCACCAGAUGUCAGACCUGGUGGCACCUUGAGCUGGGACUUCCGGGCCUCGAGAACUGUGAAAAUCAAAGUCUGUGAUACUCCGUUAUAGGGGCCCAGACCAUUAUAACACGCCAGUAGUACACCAGGAGGCGCAAUUUAUUGACGUGAAUAAAUUGAAUAAGGGGCAGGCCCGAGAGGGCGGGACAAAAGGCACCCGGUUCCUGGAGGACCCAGAAACAGUCGGCCACAGCAGGCGUUUCCAGGCCCGGUGCCCAUCCCCCACCCUGGCCAGCAGGCAGGCCCCGGCUCAGAACCGGGAUGCAUCUCGGUUCAAGGCCGUGUUUCUCUGAGCGGCCGUCUGUUCCCAUCACUUCACAUCGUUGUCUCUGACCCUUGCACCGGGCGGUUAUCACUAUCCCCAGUCUGCAGGUCAGGAACAGAAGCUCAGAGGGGCUACUGCUCAGGAGUGCCCAGCCCGGAAGCAAUUGGUUGGGGGGCGGGAGGUGGGGGGGGAGUGACUGGCCUUCAGCCUGCUGCCGGCCAGGUCCUGCCCUUCCUGUGGCUGCACUGCGGUCCAGGCUCCUGGGGUUUCCUCAUUACAGAGGAGCGCCAGCCUCCAUCUCUUGCUUCCAGCCCUUUCCUGUCCCUUAGAGGAAAGAUGCUAGCUCACAGAGAAAGAAUUUUUAUUUUACAGCUGCCUCUCCUUUCUUUAGACUCCAGCCAGUCCUGGGUGCAGUGAGAUCUGAACGGCCAGGUCCUACCGGCUCCCCAUGGCUCGAGCUCCUCCUUCAGACUGAGGGUCUUGGGUGGGGGGUCUGCUGGGAUGGCUGAGCCACGGACGCUGGAGGACAGAACAGGAAAAUGAAGACGUGAGGACACCCGCUAGCUCCGUGUCCUAAAUCGGAGGUCCCGAACAGUAUUCCCGGGGCCUCCCCGCCCCCCCCCCCCCCCGCACCUGGGAUCGGACGCCAACGUGUUCUGCCACCGACCACGCAGCACAUGGCUUGAAAGCAGGGUGCUGGGGCCAGGCCAACGUUUGCCUUUUCCUACACGUCUCGGCAAAGCUGCUCAAAACCCUCUCUUCCCCCAGCAGGAAAAGCAUAUGUUCUUUCCAUAUAGAGGAGAAAUUGUUCCACGAGUGAGUAAGUCUCUUGGCCGCGGAGCCCGGCCCAGCCCGCAGCACGCCGGGCAGGAAGCGGGCAGCGUUCUUACCACCCUUGGAACCAGACCGGGCUGGAUCCUCACCCUGGAAGACAGCGGGCCUUUGGACGGGGCCGGGGGUGGUGGGGAGCGGGGGCUGGGCGAGUGCCCGAAGACAGCUAGCCGGCCAGGGCAGGGCAGAGAAUCCUUUCCCUGAAUAGAAGCGCUUUUCUCCAUUCAGGCCGGGCGGGCGAAGGAGGGAGGGAAGGCCGAGGGGUGUGAGAGGCGAAAGAGACCUUUCCAGUCCCCUCGCCCCAGCAGCAAACGGGCCUGAGUCAGAGGUGACUCAGGUACGUGCAGUGAGACAGGGCCAUUUUUAGACCGUCAUUUCCAGCCACCCCCAGAUUCUCCUCGAUGCCUCGGGGUUGGGUGGCGAAAAGGAACCCCAUCCUCAGUGCCUCAGUUCAUUCUGCCGGAUCCGUGUGAACAUACAGGACUUCCCCAAGCCAGCCCCGGGCCGGAGGAUGCUGCUUGCAGCCUUGUCUCAGGGAGUCCUGGUUCCCUUCCCACCCUUUCCCCACUUGCUAAGAAUCGCUGACUAGGGGCUUGCGGGGAGUGGGCAGGGAAGGGACAGACAGGCCGGGCGAUGGGCAGGUGGUGGGACAGAGGGGAAAUGGGAGGGGCCCCACAGAGAGGGGAAAACGCCGAUGACAUUGGGGCAUCUAACCUGGAAGGUCAAAGACUCGGGCUAGGGGCGCCUGGCUGGCUCCGUGGGUUGAGUGUCCAACUCUUGGUUUCAGCUCAGAUCACGAUCUCACAGUUUUUGAGUUCGAGCCCCACUUCAGGUUCUGCCCUGAUGGCGUGGAUCCUGCUUGGGAUUCUCUCUCUCUGCCCCUCCCCUGCCUUCGCUCACAUUCUCUCUCUCUCUCUCUCUAAUAACUAAGCUUGAAAGACUCAGGGUGGUAGAAGUGAGAGACGUGAAAAUGAUGUAAAGGUAGGAGACAGGUCACCCCGUAGAAGUGGGAUUGGAUUUAUCCUGGGUGGGAACUUCGACGGGGCAAGCCCUGAGCAUAUAAAUCAGGGCCCCAACCCACUGAGGAGUGCUUUCAAGGCAGCGCAUUCUCGGGGCACCUGGGUGGCUCAGUCGCUUACGCAUCCGACUUUCGCUCAGGUUGUGAUUUCACAGUUUGUGAGUUCGAGCCCUGCACCAACCUCUCUGCUGUCAGCAUGGAGCCCUCUUUGGCUCCUCUGUUCCCCCCUCCCCAACCCCCACUCUCUGCAUCUCCCCUGCUCACUCUCUUUCUCUCAAAAAUAAAUAAAUGAACACUGGUGUUCAUUUAGGUCUCACACUGGUGGCCUGGGGGCCAGACACAGCCCUGAAGAUGUUUCCACCGGUCAGCAUUUCUGCACGGCCACCAUCAGCGGAGUCCACACAAUCAACGCACGGCCCGUGCUGCAGGGCAUGUCAGGCCUGAGUCCCUCCUUUGUUUCCUGGACUGGUCCCUUAGGCGUUUACGCCUGGGAGCUUUGGAGCACCUGCCCACACUCUCCCUUCGCCUCUAGCUCACCCUGUAGGCCCACCUGGGACGGGAGGAGACGGGCUCAGGUGAGACCACAUGUCCUGAGCCGCCCUGGCCCGGACGCCAGGUAGAGCGCUCACCUGGCCAGAGACCAGCACCCCUGCAAACUCCCCCUCCCUCUCCUGGAGCUGUCAUUACGCUGGGCUCUAUCAUGGUCUCUGGGGACUGGACAGUAGCUUCACUCACCUGACCAUCCUGCCCUGGAGCAGAAGCAGUUCCCAGGGUGUUUAGGGUCUGGGAAGGGCACCCGGGGGCAGAUGCACCGUGAGCUGAGAUAGAAGGGACAAAGUAAGAACGGGCACGCCCGACCCCCGGUCCAGGAGGGCAGCGCUAGGGGCGGAUGCCAGCGGCAGUGGGUCUGAAGGAAGCUGGGGCAGGGCUGGGGAGUGGAAACUAGCCGGGGGAGUAAAGUGGGGCGGCUAAAGGGCUCAGGAAGGAGGGAGCAGAAGGCAAGGCCCAGCUCCACCUUCUGCCUGUGGGUCUGGGGUGGACCCUGACUUGUACCUGCCGGAACCGAGGGCAGAAGGGCAGGCGGCAGUGGCCUCGCUGGGCGACGAGAUUCCACCCGAAGCCUGUAUAGGCUGCGGCAGAUUGCAGGGCGGUUUCACUUCCCCGGCCCUAUCUGCUCCCGCGGAUAGCUACGGGCGUUGGGACUAACAUACCCAUUUUACAGAUGAGGAGACUGAGGCGAAGUUGUGCGAGGAAGACUCUAGCCCCCGGGUAAGAGCAGGGCUCCUGCUUUCACCAGCUCUGCUUUCUGAGUUGCUUGUCCAGGCCACUGGGAGCGGACGACACAACUCCUCGCAAAGCAGCCACGCAGCAAGCAUUAGCUCCUCCUCCUCCACGUUUCACAGCCUCAUCGAGUGACACUGACAUUUGCAGGCAAGAACUCCAGCUGUGCUGGGACCCAGCAGGGGAGUUGGUGUCCCGAAGAGAAGAAGACCCUGGGGGAGUCCCUGCGGCAGGGGCCGGCUGGAGCUGCGGUCACCCAACCACCGGGCCGGCAGCCCUCAGCGGGCCCGAAUUUGCAGGGAGAUUCGGUAGAGC